rnacentral:lncRNA from 1 species
GAGUGCUUGCUCUGAGUGAGGCUCAUCUUCAAAUCUGAAUGACCACAAGGAGAUUUGAUUAUACAUGUGAACACCUCAGAAGGCACAGCCCACCCAGAAGGCAGACAGAAGAAGCUGCCAGGAAGACUGUGAAAUCUUCAUGCCCAAGGAUCCCUAAAAUUAGGAGCAACAACCACUUGGCUCAGACGGUUUAUGGAGGCAAAGGUUUGGAUGGGAUUAGAGAUUUCUAAAUGUGAGUUCGUGUCCUCUGCCAGACCACCUUACUUCCACCAUUCCUCAGCAAAUCAAGAAAAACAGGAGAAAAGACAUGCCUUUCCAUAAGUUAAAUCUAUUCUGUUUUAA